UNGGGCCAAGAAGUGGGAAUGGGUGGG
rnacentral:piRNA from 1 species